UGCAGGGUACUUCGGUUCCAUUGCACGUCGUCGCAGUGUUAUGUCCGGUGUCGUCGUGGUGCACUUCUCCCCUAGUAGGACGUCGCGACCCGUUGGGUGUCGGACUACGGCCUGGGCGGUUGUCCGUCGCGGCGAUUUAUCGCCAUGACAGACCCCCGGUGUCUUCCCGUCCGACUGCUCGGCGGUAUUGGUGCGAUGGUAUUCGGCCGCAAUCUAUUCGAACGAAAUGCGUUAUUGGCUCGUCGCAAGCGCGGUCAGUGUCCCGUGUGGUACGGACCUGGUGCCGUCCCCGGGCCUGACCAGCUGUUGGCUGACGUUGUCCUCUGACUGGCCGCUUACUUGUUUGCGACGCUUUUGCUUUGGGUACUCUCAGGACCCGUCUUGAAACACGGACCAAGGAGUCUAACAUGUGCGCGAGUCAUUGGGAUAACAAAACCUAAAGGCGAAAUGAAAGUGAAUGUCGACCUUGCGUCGACGGAGGGAGGAUGGAUUGCGCAAAGCAGUCUCGCACUCCCGGGGCGUCUCGUUCUCAUUGCGAGGAGAGGCGCACCUAGAGCGUACACGUUGGGACCCGAAAGAUGGUGAACUAUGCCUGGUCAGGACGAAGUCAGGGGAAACCCUGAUGGAGGUCCGUAGCGAUUCUGACGUGCAAAUCGAUCGUCGGAACUGGGUAUAGGGGCGAAAGACUAAUCGAACCAUCUAGUAGCUGGUUCCCUCCGAAGUUUCCCUCAGGAUAGCUGGCACUC
rnacentral:rRNA from 1 species